rnacentral:rRNA from 1 species
UGGGGAAUAUUGCACAAUGGGCGCAAGCCUGAUGCAGCCAUGCCGCGUGUGUGAAGAAGGACUUCGGGUUGUAAAGCACUUUCAGCGGGGAGGAAGGCGUUAAGGUUAAUAACCUUGGCGAUUGACGUUACCCGCAGAAGAAGCACCGGCUAACUCCGUGCCAGCAGCCGCGGUAAUACGGAGGGUGCAAGCGUUAAUCGGAAUUACUGGGCGUAAAGCGCACGCAGGCGGUCUGUCAAGUCGGAUGUGAAAUCCCCGGGCUCAACCUGGGAACUGCAUUCGAAACUGGCAGGCUAGAGUCUUGUAGAGGGGGGUAGAAUUCCAGGUGUAGCGGUGAAAUGCGUAGAGAUCUGGAGGAAUACCGGUGGCGAAGGCGGCCCCCUGGACAAAGACUGACGCUCAGGUGCGAAAGCGUGGGGAGCAAACAGG